rnacentral:lncRNA from 1 species
AUGCACAGAGACAGUCCCACUUUCUCGGCAUUGGAAGCCUGGGUCCAUUGGUAUGAAAAAUCAUUACACCUGGAGACUUCCUCAGCUGCAUUGGAUGGCCGUGUUGUCUUUUGUGCUCCAACACGCCCUAAGCACUCCACAGUGCUUUGCUGUGUCGCCAUCUCAGCCGUUGAACCUUCUUAUUGGUUUCUUCCGUCUGUUCAACUGAAACAGUCUUCACAUGCUGGCUGCAUGGAACACUGAGAAGUUAAAUUUCUGACCUGACCCAGAGCCUCAAAGCCAAUAGGUGUCUGAAGCAGGAUUAUAAACCAUGUCUUCCUAAUUCCAAAGCCAACUAUCUAUCUGUCCACUAAACAAGUUGUGUGUGUGUGUGUGUGUGUGUGUGUGUGUGUGUGCUUGUGCAUGCAUGAGCAUGUAUAUGUCUAUUGAGUAGAAAAUAAUUAAGUAAUCAGUCUCCACUAAUAAGGAAAUGUCUGCCUAAAUUGACUUUGAGCCGGAGCUACAUUGAAAAGCACUCCUUAAAAGCCUAUUUCAAAAAAGGCUCUUCCAGCAACCUUUACAAAUGUACCUUUAGAAAGCGUUACUUUACCAGCUUCUUUGGAGAAACUUUGAAAAGAAAGAAUUUUGAUGUGAUAUAGAGGUACUAAAGAGUAGAAAAAGCUGUUCAAAUUGGACUUUGAGCAAGGUAGGGCAGGACAGAGAAAGGGGAAGGAGGGAAGAGCAAAUACUUAUUAUAUGCCAACUAUAUGCCAAGUCUUAUGCUAAGUACUUUAUAAAUAUCUCAUCUCUUCCCUCAGGCUCUUUGGAACAUGAAGGGAGUACUGAAAGUAUCUUCUAAAGAUAACCCAGACCACACUACAGUAUGGUCUCAACUAACUCCAAACUUGGGCUUGAUGGGGAUUGUUGCUCUAUCAGUGAGGGAAGGAACAGAUAAGCAACUAUGAUCAUGCUAUGGGUUAGUCUACUGAAGGAAAAAAGAAACCUCAUGAGAAAUCGAGAGAUGGAUACCCAUGGAAAGAGUAAAGAAUAGUUCUUCAGAAUGAGGCACAAAAUUACAAGUCUAAAAGAUGUCUUGGGCUUUGAUAUCAUCAACUGAGGACUCAAAACCAAUCGACUAUUUUGUAAUUCAUUCCUAAGGAGAGUUGAGGCAGCUGGUAGCUAAGUGAAUCGAUUGCUAAGUCUAGCAUUAAGAAGCUCAAAUCCAGGCUCAUAUAUGUGCUAGUUAUGUGAUCCUAUAUAAAUAACUGCUUGCCUCAGUUUCCCCAAGUGUAAAAUGAAAAUAAAAGUGCCUAUAUCAUGAGAUGGUUUUGAAAA